rnacentral:rRNA from 1 species
ACGCGCGGAACCUUACCAGGUCUUGACAUCCUUCGCUACUUCUAGAGAUAGAAGGUUCCCCUUCGGGGGACGAAGUGACAGGUGGUGCAUGGUUGUCGUCAGCUCGUGUCGUGAGAUGUUGGGUUAAGUCCCGCAACGAGCGCAACCCUUGAUCUUAGUUGCCAGCAUUCAGUUGGGCACUCUAAGGUGACUGCCGGUGACAAACCGGAGGAAGGUGGGGAUGACGUCAAAUCAUCAUGCCCCUUAUGACCUGGGCUACACACGUGCUACAAUGGACGGUACAAACGGUUGCCAACCCGCGAGGGGGAGCUAAUCCGAUAAAACCGUUCUCAGUUCGGAUUGUAGGCUGCAACUCGCCUACAUGAAGCCGGAAUCGCUAGUAAUCGCGGAUCAGCAUGCCGCGGUGAAUACGUUCCCGGGCCUUGCACACACCGCCCGU